rnacentral:lncRNA from 1 species
UAGAAUUUAACUGACUGAUACCAAGAGAUGUUCACAACAUAUUAUUAAAUGAAAAAAUUCAAAUUACAAAGCUAUGGGCAGUAUGAUCCCAUUGUUUUAAGAAAAAAAAAAACAAGAUAUGCAUUCAAAUACAUCCAUCAAAGGCAAAAUAUUAUGUGGUUAUCUGGGGGUGUUCUUCUCUGUGUUCCUAUUUCCAAAUAUGUACUAAUUAUAAAAAGAAAAAAAAAGAUUCCACAUCUUAACCUUUGUCAAAAAAACGGCACAGUGGAUUACAAGUGGUCAUCUUUAUCAGAUAAGAUUACUUCAAAAAGUCUGUUCUGGAUAGAAGCAAAAAGCAAACAAGGCUGAAAAAUGGCCUGGGAGUGUUACGGCAAUUUAUUUACAGACUAUUGAAUACGGCCUUAAAAAAAUGGUAAAAAACAAAUGGCUUAUAUUAAUACAUUAGAUGUUAACAGUUACAAGACUUAACUUUUAAACGUUCUUGCAAGAGAGUACAACACUUUUAAACAAAUUAACUGGGAAAAAACUUAGAAGAGUGAUUCUGUAUUCACUAUAGAGCCUCAUUUGAAUACAAUUAGAAAAUUCAUUUUUAAUUGCACAUUUGACAGGCUGAAAUGAGUUAAGACCUGCAGACUCUGUUAGUCCAUAAAAUUAAAAGGAUAAGUUCUUCCCUUUACAAUAAAAAUUUUCUAUUUUCCCUGUCUUCAAAUGGAUCCCAUGACAGCUUAUUAUUAAUAGCUUUUAUUUUUAAGUAGAAACAUUUAAGAAAUUAUCUGGAGAAGCCUUUGGUAAAUGGCAAACUAUUGCUCCCCUUAAAAAACCACUUGAAAUUACAAAACCCUGAAAGUAUUUUUUUGUUGUUUUUUUUUUUAAAGUUCCAAAUCAAUAGGUUUUAUUGCAUAAAACCUUGAAAGAACUUAAAAGCAAAUUAUGUUUGCAAGCCUACUGAUAACCAAUCUUCUUUCAACAAAUGAAAAAUACAUACAGGACUUGCCUUUUCAAAGAUUAUCCAUAUAUGAAACAAACAGCCCCUUCAGGCUCCUAAAUUUUGAAGAUGUUUUUAUUUUUCUAUUUUUUCUAAAUAAAAAUUGUUUUUUAAGCAGACUUUUUAAAGCCACUUGUGUUAAACCAUUAGUCCAAUAGUCUAAUUAUUUUACCGUAUCACUGGUCAAGUUAUCUUGAAGCAAUUUCCCUAUUAAAAAGUUAAGUAUUUACUGCAGAAUUUAGGUAUGGCUUAGAGGAACAAGCACAGGCAAUCCAGCUGCCAAAGUUUCUGGCAAUCCCUCUUUCUAAGCCUUAUUUUUCUUAGUUGUAAAGUAAGAAGACCGACUGGAUAAUUUUAGGUUACUGGGACAUCUCGUUCAGACUUUUAAAACAUCAAAAGGCAGACUGGGCCAAAAAAAAAAAAAAAAUUGAAAGGAUAUUAUAUCCCAGGGAAUUAGCUAUCUAUAUUCAAAACAUAUAUUUCAGCUUUGUUUUUUUUACCUAUGUCCUACAAGAAGGAUUCACCUUUUUGGAAAAGAAAGCAAGUCCCCUUCCCCUAAAAAAAGAAAAAAUAAAAAUAAAAAAGGAAAACAAAAAGCCCUAGGAUGAAAAAUCAUCCCAAAUUGGAUUAAGCUCAAAGAGCAAAACCUUAACUCAGAAGUACCAGAUUUUAAGCAUUUAUGUAUUCACUUUUCAUUUUUCUCAAGAAGUCUUGAUAUUUCUUACAAAUAGGCCAUUGCAAACUGACCAGAUUCAACUUAAAAUUUUAUCACUUUUAAGUGAUAUCAAACAGCUAUUCCAGUUGUUUGAUUUCUCUCCAUAACCAUCUCUAUCCAAAUUUCAAUUUAAAAUUUCAAAAAGAUACUCAAAUUUUCAUGCCCUACAUUCACUUAAGUGCAAUUUAGAUACAGCUGAGGGUAGCAAAUACCACUAACUUCUCCAGACAUUUAAAAAAAUCUUGCUCACUGUCAGCACACUGAAAGUAUGAUUUAACACUGUUGACGGUUAUUGAUGUACCCCAAGGACUAGAUUACUACCUGGCAUGUUGUAGGCACUGACUAUGUAUUUGCUGACAGAAUAAAGCUCUGAAUCACAGCUAGAAUUAUUACCUUAUUUCACAUUCCACAAAUGACAACUCCUUAAAAUUGGCAUUUUAAGGUUUCACAAAUGACUUGCAACUCUCCAACAAAUAAUGAAGACGUAGGAAACAUACUGAGUUGCAUGCAGAAAAACCUGCUGUGUCAGUAAAUACAAAAGGGAAUUUCACGUGGGAGAAGAUAAAUACUUUCUUCUUUUGGCAGGUCAAAUCUUUUAUAUUUUUGUCUUCUUAACUUGCAGUCUGACUUACCUGCUUUUUUCCAAAAAAUUUAAGCAAUAUUUUGUGUUCUUUAGAUUUCACUCAAAUUUUCAGCGAUGACUGCUGUUAUAACCUACAGAACUAGUGAUUUCCCAACUUUGUUCUAUUAAUCCAAAUUCACUGAAUUAAAAUAUUAAAUGCUAUGAAGGGAAGCAUUAAAAUUUUUUACUAUCAUAUUUCAUCAAUUAUAAGACAUAUUUUCAUAUAAUAUGUCUGAAUCUGGGAUGCAGCUUACAAUUGAUGACGUCUUAGCAUUGUAUUGUGGCUUAAUUGGCAACAUUUUUUCUUCUAAGUGACAUAUAAAAGACUAGUAUGUCUCACAGUAGUGCUGUGUAAGGAUAAUAUUAGAAGUUCUAGUUCAAAUUUUCAAUGUCAAAGCAACAAUUUCCCUGUCCUCCCAGCCACUCUCCCAACAUAAAUAUAUAACUGAAAUGUUUGAUUAGAAAAACUAUCCAAAC